rnacentral:rRNA from 1 species
CAUUAUUGAAUGAACUUGGUGUGGUUGUUGCUGGCUCUUUCGAGGGCAUGUGCACGCCCACCAUCCUCAUCUCUCCACCUGUGCACCUCUUGUAGACUUGGAUUGACUUUCCGAGGCAACUCGGUCGGGAGGAUUGCCGGCGCCAGCUGGCUUUCUUUGCAUUUCCAGGUCUACGUUUUUCAUAUAUCCCCAUUGUAUGUAACAGAAUGUAACAUUGGGCACUUGUGCCUAUAAACUUUAUACAACUUUCAGCAACGGAUCUCUUGGCUCUCGCAUCGAUGAAGAACGCAGCGAAAUGCGAUAAGUAAUGUGAAUUGCAGAAUUCAGUGAAUCAUCGAAUCUUUGAACGCACCUUGCGCUCCUUGGUAUUCCGAGGAGCAUGCCUGUUUGAGUGUCAUUAAAUUCUCAACCUUUAUCAACUUUUGUUGAUAAUGGCUUGGAUAUGGGGGUUUAUUUUGCUGGCUUCUUUACAGAUGGUCAGCUCCCCUUAAAUGCAUUAGCCGGUGCCCCGCGUGGACUGUCUAUUGGUGUGAUAAUUAUCUUACGCCGUGGACAUCUGCAAUCAUAUGGGUUUGCACUGCUUCCAACUGUCUGUUGAAUCAGACAAUACAUGACAAUUUGACCUCAAAUCAGGUAGGACUACCCGCUGAACUUAAGCAUA